rnacentral:lncRNA from 1 species
GAAAAAAACGUUUCUCUUUCAGUAAUUAAUAAUCAAAUCAACUCAUCAAGUAGUCGCCGAGCUCUUGUUUUAUACUACAAUACAAUACAAUUGCACAAAAGGAAAUACAAUAUUACAAAUAUCUCAACAGAGUUAUUGUUCAACCUAUACCGUAUAUUGAAUCUACAUUUAUGUUACAUCCACUGGAGAACAAUAAAUCUACAUUUAUGUUACUCUUAUCGACCUUCAGUCUGCUAUUUUCAUACAACACAACAACCAGAGGAGAUACCAGACUCACUAUCUGGGACGUUCUAAUUCGUUGUAAUAGAUUGAUCAAUAGACAGCAAUUUUUCAGACGUGGGCAAGGAUAAAAAGAGAAAGGGGCUCCUUUCUGAUUCAUCAUAUGUAAGCAAGUGAGUUUCUGUCAAGGUCAGGUUGCGGGCGACCCCGAGUCGGAGUUGGUGGUCUCUGGAUGUUAAGCUCCUAAACCCACACAAACGAGAAUUCAAAAUGCGAGAAUGUCCACAAUAUGAGACCGGCAGGAUACAAGAAAGAACAUAUUUGAGGAGACUAGACGAAUCUUACUUGCAUCCAUGUCUCUUCUGCAAUACGCUCCGGAGAUGUUUCCGGUGAUUGAAGAGGUGGCGGCAAUGGAUGGAUUAACUUUGGUACCACAACCAAUCCCCGUCCAACCACUAGUAUGGCUCCCGCGUUGUUUGCAGUCCCUGAACCACAAAACAUUAGGAACAUCUUUGUAAGGAAACUCGUGAUUUUUAGUCAGGUCUCUCUUACCGCAGUAAUUCGUAGCAGAAAAUAACGUAAUCAGUUGUCCUUGAGCAAACCGUUCAAAUCCAUCCAUAACACAUUCAUGUGCUCGAAUAAUCAGCUGCAACUUGUUCUUCUUACAAAAAUCUGUUACACGGUCAGGCUGCAACAACGGUACGAAGGAGAGAAAAAUAAAGAGCAUCAGGAUACUCCAGCACCAAGUAUAUUCAAUAUUCUGACAGCCGUACUAUGAUGCACCUUUUUUUAACAUUCAGAAGCUUGCAUCACUAAUAAUAAAUAAUAAAAAUGAAAACAGAAACCCAGAGUAUGCCGGACAACAGAAUAUUUUACAAUAAAUCAAGCAGACAGAAGUUAGGUUCUGGCUAGAUAACAACAUCACAAUUGAAUUCAGAAACACCAUGUAAAUCUUGCUUAAACCCAUAACAAUGGAACGGAUGUGCUCAUUACGCUAAAAUUUGCUACAUACCCCGAAAGUGACAAGACCAGGGCCUCUCGCAUUUGGCCUUAAACCUUCCACACUAUCAUUUUCUGUAGGAUCAGACCUGCAUACAACAAAAUUACAAAUUUAGAGUAGCUCUGGACUAUGCGCAGACUCCAAAGAAGAAAUGAAAAAUCAUAAAUCAUGAGCAGUACCACAGAAGAUCCAUCAGUAUUAUGGAACCUGCAUCCAUGGUUAUGGGUCUCUCGAGUUUUUCAAUCUGUUCCACUGAAGUAAUAGAUCUGCCGAUUCCCCCAUGCAUACAUAUUAUUUUCUUUUCAACAAGUGCUGCAAGUGGAAGAUAGUUGAAGAGCUGAUUGAAGCGUGUCCAUGCCCAUAUCCCAUCACUCUCUCCCUGGAAGUAAACUGGUUAAAAUGAUGUUCAUGGUUCAGGUGUAGAAUCAAUAAUGUAAAUAUGGUUUCCUAACCAUUCUCUCAAUGCAUUCAAUGCGAAAACCAAAGAGUGCAUUAAUAUCAGCAGCUUCAUGGUUUCCUCGUAUCAGGUGAACAUUUUCUGGAUACUCGAUCUACAAAGCAUGAUUAGGAGUUGUUAAAAUUUAAGCCUAAAAGUCAAAUAUUAAGCCUAAAAUUCAAUAUGAAUGAUUUGCCUUAAGAGCAAGUAGGAGGGUGAUGGUCUCCAAACUGUGUUGUCCACGAUCAACAUAGUCUCCCAGAAAUAAGUAGUCGAUAUACCUGAGAGAGCAUGAGAACAGAUUUUUCAAACAACAAUUCAGAAGUCGAGAAUUUAUUUACAACAUGAGUGACAAAUGAACUAAUUAGCAAAUUAAUUAGACUCCAAAACUGAAGCUAAAAGCUCAACUUCAAUCCCAUGAGUUAAAACACCCCAUAAAAAGCAACGUCCUAGGUCACAUGAUCAUAAAGCACUAUGACAUCGAAACCUAGAGGAACUGUAAACCAAGAAGGAUUGAUGGAUACCCUGAUACUGGCUGGCUACCAACAAGGCAAUGGCUUAAAAUGUGAGUAUUUAUUUAGCAAGUCAUCUUGUAUACGUAUGCAGUUUAUAUAUGUAUGUGUGUGUGCUUUCCAACCUAAGGAAUUUUAGAAUAUAUGUUUUCUGUUGUGUUAUCCCAGGUAGAACACCAGGGAUUAUAUACAGGUUACUGCUCCUAUGAGGGAGCAGAUUACUCACAAGGUGCAUCCCCACAAAAAAGGAAUCACCUUACUACUCAAUUACUAUAAUUUUACCUAUACUACAGAUAUUAAGGCUAGAUACACGUAGUUAAAUAUGUACAUAAAUGAUCAGGACAUCUUUAGAUGUUAUGAAGGCGAAAUUUUACCUAUACUACAGAUAUUAAGGCUAGAUACACGUAGGUAAAUAUGUACAUAACUAAUCAGGACAUCUGUAGAUGUUAUGAAGGCCAAGCUUGCAUUGUAAGUUAUCGAAGAUAUCUCUGGGUAGGGUCUUGGUAAAAAUAUCAGCCAUCUGUAGCUUGAAAGGAACGUAUUCCAUCUCAAAUUCCUUGUUGUUCACCUUCUCGGAAAUAAAGUGUCGAUCUAAUUCAACAUGUUUAGUACGGUCAUGAUGAACUAGAUUCUUCACGAUGCUUAAUGUUGGUUGACUAUCACACAAUACCCUGAAAGGACUUUCAUCUUCCAUUUUCAACUCCUUUAAAUACGCUUAGCCAAAUACCUUCACACAUGCCAUCUGCUAGUGCCUUGUAUUCGGCUUCAGCAAUGCUCCUUGAAACAACUGCCUGCUUCUUGCUACGCCAAGUCACCAAAUUCCCCCAAACGUAGGUGCAAUAAGCUGAGGUUGAUCGUCGAUCAGUAAGAUCUCCAACCCAGCUGGCAUCCGUAUAAAUGGAUAUUCUUUGUCCAGUGUGUUUUUGGAAUAGCAGUCCAACACCCGGUGUGCCCUUUAAGUACCUUAGAAUUCUCAUCACAACUUCCAUACGUUCUUCAUAUGGAUUAUGCAUAUGCUGGCUCACAAUGCUUACUGGGAAGGAAAUAUCUGGACCGAGUAUGAGCUAAAUAUAUCAACUUUCCCACCAAAUUCUGGUAACUCCCCUUUCCACAGGUGCCACUUCUAUGUCAUGAGUGAACUUCAAGUUGUGUUUCAUUGGUGUGCUAGCAGGCUUACAUCCACUCAUUCCAGUUUCCUUCAAUAGGUCUAGUACAUAUUUUCGUUGAGAUAGACUCAAUCCUUUGCUCGAUCGAGCCACUUCAAUACCCAAGAAAUAUCUCAAGUUCCCUAGGUCCUUUAUGUCAAACUCCAACGCAAGUCUGCGUUUGAGAUCAGUGAUCUCUUGUUCAUCAUCCCCUGUGAUGAUGAUGUCGUCGACAUAUACGAUGAGAAUAGCCUUUUUCCCUUACUGAUUCUGUUUUACAAACAUAAUGUGGUCAGUCUGACAAUGAUAAUACCCACACCCUUUCACAGCCUGAGAAAAUCUCUCAAACCAGGCUCGUGGUGACUAUUUCAGACCGUAUAAUGCCUUUUUAAGCUUACACACCACCCCUGGUUCAGUAUUAACACCUGCAGGGACAUUUAUAUAAACUUCUUCACUUAGGUCUCCGUUUAAGAACGCAUUUUUUACAUCUAGCUGGUAGAGAGGCCAGUCCAAAUUUACUGCAAGACUUAGGAGAACCCUUACGAUUUUCAACUCAACUACGGGAGCAAAUACCUCCUCGUAAUCCACGCCAUAACACUGGGCGAAUCCCCUUGCUGCAAGACGUGCCUUGAACCUUCCGACAUUUCCUUUUAAUGUAUAUUUCACAAUAAAUAUCCACUUACAAUCGACUGUGGAUUUCCCUGCUAGUAACCUUACAAAAUCCCAAGCCUAUUUUUUCUGAAGUGCACUAACUUCUUCCAACACAGCUUUCCUCCAAUGAUGAAUACUCAUAGCCUCUUGAAUGGAGUUGGGAAUUGUGAUUGUGUCAAGAUUUCCUAUGAACGCCUUGUACUUCUGACUGAGGUUUCCAUACGAGAUCCAUCUCUCGAUAGGAUGACUCGUGCAUGCUCUGGUUCCUUUCCGUUGUGCGAUUGGAAGGUCAGCUGUAACCUCUGUAUGAGUCUCCUUCGCCUGUUCAACACUUUCGAUCGAAGGGUCCAAUUGAUCCGACUCACUAACUUGGUGUUCUUGGGAGCCUGAGUUCUCAUCAGACUCUUGGUUGUUUGGAGCGUGUGUGAUAUCUGUAGUCUUCUUCCAGCGUCGAUAGACUAGGAGAGGAGGAUUCUAUUUGAGCUCAGUGUUUUUCCUAGUUAGCUCUAAGACAACCCUAGAUUCUAGAGUAAUGAUACUACCAAUGGAGGACUCGGCAACAGUAGGAAUCUCCCCCUGAGGCUGACAAUGGGAGUAAAAUGGUUGGUGUUUGAAGAAGGUAACAUCUUUGGAAUGAUAUAUUUUGCGACUAGUGGGUAAAUAGCAUUUGUAACCACUAUGAUGAGAAGAAUGUCUGAGGAAGACACAUUGAAUGGCUCUAGGGUCUAGUUUAGUACACGUGGAGGAGUCUAAAUGGACAAAAGUUGUGCACCCGAACACUCGGAGAGGAAGAUCAGAAGAGAGAGCAUGACUAUGAGAGAAGAGUUUGAGUAGGACAGUUCGAGGGGUUUUGAAACUGAGAGUUCUACUUGGUAGGCGAUUGAUAAGGUAUGUGGCGGUGAGAACAGCAUCAUCCCACAAGGAUUUAGGAGUUUUUGCAGCAAACAUUGAGGCUCUAGCUACUUCUAAGAGAGCGAUUUUUGCAGUCAACAAUUCUAUUUUGCUGAGGAGUGUAAGGACAAGAGCUACUGUGAGUAAUACCAUUUGCUAUGAGGAAAUUGCCUAAGGAUUAGUUGAAAUAAUCCCUUGCAUUGUCUGUGUGUAGGACACGGAUAGGUGUUUGAAAUUGAGUUGUGAUUUGUUUGUGGAAGGUUUGGAAGAUUUGGUUGGUUUUUAACUUUGUUUUCAUGUGAUAGGUCCAUGUUAGACGGGUGUAAUCGUCGAUGAAGGUGAUUAACCACCAAAAGCCAUUGAAUAUUUUAGCGGAGUAGGACCCAGAUAUCACUAUGAAUGAUAGAGAAAGGGUGCGAUGGUUUGUAAGGUAUACUAUGGUAGACAAUUUUUGUGUGUUUUGCAAGUUAACAGACAUCACAAUAGAAGAAAUUUGGAUUUUCAUUGAUGAAAAGCUUGGGAAACAAUUUUUGGAGAUAGCUAAAAUUGGAAUGACCUAAUCGGUAGUGCCAUAACAUGACAGGACACUCCAACUAACUCAACUUAGAACCGAAAUGCACCGACUUAGAAACCUCUUCUGCUGGUCUUGAAUUGUUUAUCGUCUUUAGAAGAUAUAGACUGUCACACAACUCAAACUUGCCAAUCAUCCUCUGAAAUCCCACCUCCUGUAAUGUGCAUUUAGAAGGACCACAUGUUAGUUGACAGUGUAGAUCUUUCGUGAUCUAACUAACAAAAACAAAAUUACAAUUGAGUUUUGGGACAUAUAGCACAGGAAACAGUGUUUGAGAGGGAGGAUAAAUAAGUUGUGCCAACUCCCUCAACAAGUGCAAGAGUCCCAUCAGCAAUACAAACUCCUGCCUUUCUUGGAUGGAGCUGAAUAUUAUGAAGAUGUUUGGAACCAGUCAUGUGUUCAGUGGCAUCGGAAUCAAGGAUCCAUUUUUGUAUAAAUUGAUUUAGAGCUAGCAAAGCAGUGGAUAGUUUCUUUGCGGAGUAUUGGGACAUCAUAUCUUGGAGAAACUAGAGUUGCUCCCUGGUGAGUUGAGCAAAUUGGUUUGCCUGGUCAGUUACAACAGCAUGUGCAUGGGCCUCCCCUUGGGCUACCGAUCAGUUGGUUUCCCAUGUAACUUCCAGCACGUCUCCCUUGUAUGACCCACUUUGUUGCAGUGAUCACAGUUGGGACGCGGUUUGUCAGAUUUUGUGUAGCCACAUCCUUGUGAAUUUCCAGAAUACUGAGUAGCGAGAGUAGAGCUUUCAGCUGCGAGAUUCUUGGAUUCAAGAAUUAUAAGCUUUCUCCUACUCUCCUCCCACUUAACUUCAGCAAAGGCCUCUCGUACAGAAGGAAGUGGCAGACGUCCCAUGAUUCUGCCCUUGACUUCAUCUAGGGCUUGAUUGAGGCCAAGCAGGAAGCGAAUGGUACGCCUUGUUUGCAGAAUCUUCCUAUAGAGUUAAGCAUCAUAUAUACAUUUCCACAGAUGAACAUCAUACAAAUCUUGUUGCAACCAGUACUUACUCAGUUCAUCAUAGUACUGAGUAACAGAUUGAUCCCCUUGUUUGAGAUCAUGAAGACACAUCUCUAUCUCAAAUGAUUCAGCGUUGUUUGCUUGAUUUGAAUAUGUAUGUCAAGUUCCUUCCCAGAUUUCGUGAGCUAUUUUGUGGAGAAGAAACUUUUCCCCGAUGGAUGUGGUCAUUGAAUUGAGGAGCCAGGAUUGGACCAUAUUGUCCUUGAUGUCCUAGUUGGAGAACUCGGGAUCGUCUUCCGCUUGUUGCUUAGUUUUGCCAGACAGAUAUCCUCUCUUCCCCUUGCCUGAGAUGAACGUGAGAACGAAUGAGAACCCCUGGAGGUAGUUGUCUCCAUUGAGACUAUGAUUGGUGAUGCAACCUAGAAAUGUAUCUGAAGGAAUUGAUGAAUUUCCGCGCUUCAAAGAGGUAUCUUCUAAAGUCACAGAGGAUGAACGCGGCGAUGAGUUGCCGGUUGGAGGAACCUCAUUAUCAUUGUUCGUCAUGAUGAUGAAGAAAAGAGAGGUGUUUGAGAGAGAAGAAGAAACGAGAAUGGAUUUAGAGUAAGAAUCGAUGCUCUAAUACCAUAAAGAGUUCAGAAUAUAUGUUUUUUGUUGUGUUAUUCCAGGUAGAACACCAAAGAUUAUAUACAAGUUAAAUGGGAGCAGAUUACUCAACAGUAUCCCCACAAAUCAGGAUCACCUUACUACUUAAUUACUAUAAUUUUACAUAUAUUACAGAUAUUAAGGCUAGAUACACGUAGGUAAAUAUAUACAUAACUAAUCAGGACAGCUAACAGAUCCUUAACAGAUCCUAAUCAUAUGAGGUAAUAAUUCUGCACAACCAUAACGCUUAUAAAGAACAAGGUAACAAAAUCAGCACGACCCAUGGAUAGAAAAAUGAAAAUGAGGAAAAACAUAGCAUGCACACAGUAAGACCUCACUCACCCUUAGGAAAAAUAUAGGGACCAUUGGCAAAGGUAAGUUGAUGUUUCCCAAUAUAUUUUUGGAAUACGGCAGAUUAGUGGUCAUUUAUUUUUGUUAUUCUACGUCCGUAUUUGCCUAGUCUAAAUAGGAAGUUUAGUGACAUAAUUAGUUGGCAAAAUCAUACUUGAAAUAAGUUUGCGUAUGUAACCCCAUAAAUACAGAUGACAUUAGGAUUAUUACAACCCUAAACCCUAAACCCUAAACCCUAAACCCUAAACCCUAAACCCUAAACCCUAAACCCUAAACCCUAAACCCUAAACCCUAAACCCUAAACCCUAAACCCUAAACCCUAAACCCUAAACCCUAAACCCUAAACCCUAAACCCUAAACCCUAAACCCUAAACCCUAAACCCUAAACCCUAAACCCUAAACCCUAAACCCUAAACCCUAAACCCUAAACCCUAAACCCUAAACCCUAAACCCUAAACCCUAAACCCUAAACCCUAAACCCUAAACCCUAAACCCUAAACCCUAAACCCUAAACCCUAAACCCUAAACCCUAAACCCUAAACCCUAAACCCUAAACCCUAAACCCUAAACCCUAAACCCUAAACCCUAAACCCUAAACCCUAAACCCUAAACCCUAAACCCUAAACCCUAAACCCUAAACCCUAAACCCUAAACCCUAAACCCUAAACCCUAAACCCUAAACCCUAAACCCUAAACCCUAAACCCUAAACCCUAAACCCUAAACCCUAAACCCUAAACCCUAAACCCUAAACCCUAAACCCUAAACCCUAAACCCUAAACCCUAAACCCUAAACCCUAAACCCUAAACCCUAAACCCUAAACCCUAAACCCUAAACCCUAAACCCUAAACCCUAAACCCUAAACCCUAAACCCUAAACCCUAAACCCUAAACCCUAAACCCUAAACCCUAAACCCUAAACCCUAAACCCUAAACCCUAAACCCUAAACCCUAAACCCUAAACCCUAAACCCUAAACCCUAAACCCUAAACCCUAAACCCUAAACCCUAAACCCUAAACCCUAAACCCUAAACCCUAAACCCUAAACCCUAAACCCUAAACCCUAAACCCUAAACCCUAAACCCUAAACCCUAAACCCUAAACCCUAAACCCUAAACCCUAAACCCUAAACCCUAAACCCUAAACCCUAAACCCUAAACCCUAAACCCUAAACCCUAAACCCUAAACCCUAAACCCUAAACCCUAAACCCUAAACCCUAAACCCUAAACCCUAAACCCUAAACCCUAAACCCUAAACCCUAAACCCUAAACCCUAAACCCUAAACCCUAAACCCUAAACCCUAAACCCUAAACCCUAAACCCUAAACCCUAAACCCUAAACCCUAAACCCUAAACCCUAAACCCUAAACCCUAAACCCUAAACCCUAAACCCUAAACCCUAAACCCUAAACCCUAAACCCUAAACCCUAAACCCUAAACCCUAAACCCUAAACCCUAAACCCUAAACCCUAAACCCUAAACCCUAAACCCUAAACCCUAAACCCUAAACCCUAAACCCUAAACCCUAAACCCUAAACCCUAAACCCUAAACCCUAAACCCUAAACCCUAAACCCUAAACCCUAAACCCUAAACCCUAAACCCUAAACCCUAAACCCUAAACCCUAAACCCUAAACCCUAAACCCUAAACCCUAAACCCUAAACCCUAAACCCUAAACCCUAAACCCUAAACCCUAAACCCUAAACCCUAAACCCUAAACCCUAAACCCUAAACCCUAAACCCUAAACCCUAAACCCUAAACCCUAAACCCUAAACCCUAAACCCUAAACCCUAAACCCUAAACCCUAAACCCUAAACCCUAAACCCUAAACCCUAAACCCUAAACCCUAAACCCUAAACCCUAAACCCUAAACCCUAAACCCUAAACCCUAAACCCUAAACCCUAAACCCUAAACCCUAAACCCUAAACCCUAAACCCUAAACCCUAAACCCUAAACCCUAAACCCUAAACCCUAAACCCUAAACCCUAAACCCUAAACCCUAAACCCUAAACCCUAAACCCUAAACCCUAAACCCUAAACCCUAAACCCUAAACCCUAAACCCUAAACCCUAAACCCUAAACCCUAAACCCUAAACCCUAAACCCUAAACCCUAAACCCUAAACCCUAAACCCUAAACCCUAAACCCUAAACCCUAAACCCUAAACCCUAAACCCUAAACCCUAAACCCUAAACCCUAAACCCUAAACCCUAAACCCUAAACCCUAAACCCUAAACCCUAAACCCUAAACCCUAAACCCUAAACCCUAAACCCUAAACCCUAAACCCUAAACCCUAAACCCUAAACCCUAAACCCUAAACCCUAAACCCUAAACCCUAAACCCUAAACCCUAAACCCUAAACCCUAAACCCUAAACCCUAAACCCUAAACCCUAAACCCUAAACCCUAAACCCUAAACCCUAAACCCUAAACCCUAAACCCUAAACCCUAAACCCUAAACCCUAAACCCUAAACCCUAAACCCUAAACCCUAAACCCUAAACCCUAAACCCUAAACCCUAAACCCUAAACCCUAAACCCUAAACCCUAAACCCUAAACCCUAAACCCUAAACCCUAAACCCUAAACCCUAAACCCUAAACCCUAAACCCUAAACCCUAAACCCUAAACCCUAAACCCUAAACCCUAAACCCUAAACCCUAAACCCUAAACCCUAAACCCUAAACCCUAAACCCUAAACCCUAAACCCUAAACCCUAAACCCUAAACCCUAAACCCUAAACCCUAAACCCUAAACCCUAAACCCUAAACCCUAAACCCUAAACCCUAAACCCUAAACCCUAAACCCUAAACCCUAAACCCUAAACCCUAAACCCUAAACCCUAAACCCUAAACCCUAAACCCUAAACCCUAAACCCUAAACCCUAAACCCUAAACCCUAAACCCUAAACCCUAAACCCUAAACCCUAAACCCUAAACCCUAAACCCUAAACCCUAAACCCUAAACCCUAAACCCUAAACCCUAAACCCUAAACCCUAAACCCUAAACCCUAAACCCUAAACCCUAAACCCUAAACCCUAAACCCUAAACCCUAAACCCUAAACCCUAAACCCUAAACCCUAAACCCUAAACCCUAAACCCUAAACCCUAAACCCUAAACCCUAAACCCUAAACCCUAAACCCUAAACCCUAAACCCUAAACCCUAAACCCUAAACCCUAAACCCUAAACACUAAACAAAAUUUCAAAAAUUUUAAAAUUUAAACCCUAAACCACUAAAACUUAAACCCUAAACAAUAAAACCUAAAUCCUAAAAACAAAACACAAAACUCUAAACCCUAAACAAAAUUUAAAAAAUUAUAAAAUUUAAACCCUAAACGACUAAACCCUAAACCACUAAACCCUAAACCCUAAAACCUAAAUCCUAAAAACAAAACACAAAACUCUAAACCUAAACCAUACACCCUAAACACUAAAAUCUAAACCCUAAUACAAUUAACAACAAAACUUAAAAAAUUAUAAAAUUUAAUUAAAAAAAAAAACAAACUGACGAACCGGACGGAUCCGUCUGGCUGGUCUGACCGGACAGAUCCUUCCGGUUCGUCCGUUUGGUUUUUUUUUCCAGAUUCAAAAUUGAAUUUCGUACCUUUCGAAUUUUGAUUCGUUGUUCGUCGAGAGUGUUUUCGACAAACAAAAACAUACUAAAACAUAAUAAAUAAGAGUUUUUUGGAUCGAAAUAGUACUUUUUUCAUUUUUACGAAAUGGACGUUUAAAUCCAUAACGAAUGUAGGGCGUCAUUUUAUUCGAAUUCCAGAACGUCGUUUAGUAACCCUCGUACAAAAGGAACCUCCAGUAAACGCAAGGAACAAAAAUGAACCCACCCCAAACAUAAAAGACCACCUACGUUAAUAACCGGAAAACAACCCACCACCUGGCUACUCUUCAACAUGUAAUCUUAAGAAUGAAAUCAUUCAUUAAGGUGUCAUUUGUCUGAUCCAUUAAAAUUGCAACGUGGCAUCCAACAUCAUUGCAGGACGAAAAAACGUUUCUCUUUCAGUAAUUGAUAUCCUUAUGCACCAUGGGCGUAGUAAUAAUCAAAUCAACUCCUCAAGCAGUUUCCGAGCUCUUGUUUUAUACCACAAUACAAUACAAUUGCACAAAAGGAAAUACAACAUUACAAAUAUCUCAACAGAUUUAUUGUUUAACCUAUACCGUAUACUGAAUCUACAUUUCUGUUACAUCCACUGGAGAACAAUCAAUCUGGUCAGUCCCCAAAGCUAUCUACACUCUAAUCGACCUUCAGUCUGCUAUUUGCAUACAACACAACAACCAGAGGAGAUACCAGACUGACUAUCUGUGACGUUCUAAUUCGAUGUAAUAGAUUCAUCAAUGGACAACAAUUUUUCACUGACUUGGGCAAGGAUAAUAAGAGGAAGGGGCUCCUUUCUGAUUCAUCAUAUGUAAGCAAGUGAGUUUCUGUCAAGGUCAGGUUGUGGGCGACCCCGAGUCGGAGUUGGUGGUCUCUGGAUGUUAAGC